UGCAGUCGAACGCGAAAGCUCUUUCGGGAGCAAGUAGAGUGGCGGACGGGUGAGUAAUACGUAGGAAUCUGCCCUAUAGUGGGGGACAACCCGGGGAAACUCGGGCUAAUACCGCAUAAUCUCUUCGGAGGAAAGCGGGGGAUCUUCGGACCUCGCGCUUUAGGAUGAGCCUACGUCGGAUUAGCUUGUUGGUGAGGUAAAGGCUCACCAAGGCGACGAUCCGUAGCUGGUCUGAGAGGACGAUCAGCCACACUGGGACUGAGACACGGCCCAGACUCCUACGGGAGGCAGCAGUGGGGAAUAUUGGACAAUGGGCGCAAGCCUGAUCCAGCAAUACCGCGUGUGUGAAGAAGGCCUUCGGGUUGUAAAGCACUUUCAGCAGGGAAGAAAGGCUCAAGGCCAAUACCCUUGAGAAAUGACGUUACCUGCAGAAGAAGCACCGGCUAACUCUGUGCCAGCAGCCGCGGUAAUACAGAGGGUGCGAGCGUUAAUCGGAAUUACUGGGCGUAAAGCGCGCGUAGGCGGGCAUUUAAGUCGGAUGUGA
rnacentral:rRNA from 1 species